rnacentral:rRNA from 1 species
GUCUAUACUCGAUAAUCCACGUAUACCAAACCUUCUCUAGAUAUACAGCAUGUGUACUGCCGUUGUAAGCAUACCUUUAAAAGACUAGUAUGCCACUAUGAUCCAACCCAUACACAUCAGGUCAAAGUGCAGCUAAUAAGAAGGUGAUGAUGGGUUACAACCCCAAAAAAGACUAUCAACUAAGAAAUUAAAAAUCUUACGAAAGUGGACUUGGCCGUAAUCAAUUCAAACUUAAAGAAAUGAAUAAUAUCUAAGACAUGUACACAUCGCCCGUCACUCUAUCCUAAAGGAUAGAUAAGUCGUAACAAAGUAGGUGUAAUGGAAAUUGUACCUGUCGAAGUAUAGCAUAUAUAAUGCUUUUUACUUACACUAAAAAUAAAGUUAAAACUUACUUCGCCCAAAACAAAUAUCUUAAAAUUAACUUGAAAUAUAAACAAUUAAAUUAGUAUUAAAUAAGUACAGAAAUGGAAAUAGUAAUAAAUAAAAGUAAAUUUUAACAAAUAUACCUUGUGCAUUAUGGUUUUACAAGAAAAAAAUUAAAAUAUAAAUCCCGAAUUCUAAAUGAGAUGUUAAACUGCUGUAACGAACCCAUUAUUAACUGUAAAAAAAGUUUUAAUAGACAGCUUAACAGAGGCUACAUACCAUCCGCAUAAGAAUAUAGCUGGUUUUCAACAAACAUUAUACAUUAAAACAUAUAAUAAUAUUAUAAUGUAAAAUUAUCGAGGAUAAGCCCAAUAAUAAAUGUAAUAUUAACAUAUUCUAAUAUAUAUUAUAGGCCUAAAAUCAGCCAAUAAAAAUACUUUACCGUAAAUAUAUUGACAAAAUAAAUGUUAUAAUAUACUAAAUAAAGUUGAAAUAGUGGGAAAACCAAACACCUGUACAUAAAAUGUAAAAAUAAGUAUUAUAAAAAAUAAUUAAAUGAAUCUAGAAACAACAUCAUACAUAUUAAAUAUAAUUAAUUAAGGAACUCGGCAAAUUAUUAUUUCGACUGUUUAACAAAAACAUUGUCUUAUGAGCACAAUAUAAGAUAAUACCUGCCCAGGACAAUGCCCCGGGGGCG